rnacentral:lncRNA from 1 species
GCAAUUAUCUUAUCUGAAUGCCGUGAGAUUUUGCAGCCUUCCACAGUGCUUCCAAACAAGCUGAAAUAAGUCAACAAAAAAUGACAAACAUCGUUACUGGACUUCCCACUUUCUACAUCAGCCAUCAGAUCAUGCAUACCUAAUAUUUCAUGAAUUGUAAUCCUUCAUAAAAGCCAACAGACUGUUUGGUUUCAGUAGGCCAAAUGGAUUUAUUGUGACAUUUGCUGCCAGUCCCUUCCUGCUUCAGAAGUGCUGUCCCAGGG